UUUGUUUGUGUGGUGUUUUGGUGCCUGAGUUUGGCAUUGGAGCACAAAAGCCUCCAAGUCCAUCGCUUGACCCCGGUUGCACUCCCAAAAGGUAAAUGCCUUUUAAUAAACUAUGGUAGUUCGGGGUUGUCCAGGCCUUCUCGGUGUUAGCCAUGCCUGGGGUUCUUAGAAGCCCCUUGUGCGACAUCGAGAAUACAAGGCGAGGACUUAGUCCCCAUGCAAUUGUAAAAUCUCCAAUCAAAACAAAUCCACUCAAGGAGAAAUGGGGCAAGCAUAGAACAAUAUGAAUACUUUUUCAUGUUUUGAAUUAUGUAUAGUUCGGUUAUUCUAGUGAUAAGAUCAGUGUUUAUAAACUAA